rnacentral:rRNA from 1 species
GACGAACGCUGGCGGCGUGCUUAACACAUGCAAGUCGAACGGAAAGGCCCUGCUCUUGUGGGGUUCUCGAGUGGCGAACGGGUGAGUAACACGUGAGUAAACUGCCCUUGACUUUGGGAUAACUUCAGGAGACUGGGGCUAAUACCGGAUAGGAGCUCCUGCUGCAUGGGGGGGGUUGGAAAGUUUCGGCGGUUGGGGAUGGACUCGCGGCUUAUGAGCUUGUUGGUGGGGUAGUGGCUUACCAAGGCUUUGACGGGUAGCCGGCCUGGGCGGGUGGACGGGCUCCUGAGUCCUGCGAGACGGCCCAGACGGGUACGUGAGGCAGCAGUGGGGAAUAUUGCGGAAUGGGGGGAAGCCUGAUGCAGCAGCGCCGCGUGCGGGAUGACGGCCUACGGGUGGUAAACCGAUUUCGCCUGUGACGAGGCGGUCGUGACGGUAAUGGGUAAAGAAGCACCGGCUAACUACGUG